rnacentral:rRNA from 2 species
UUCGUGGAUCGAUGAAGAACGCAGCUAGCUGCGAUAAAUAGUGCGAAUUGCAGACACAUUGAGCACUAAAAAUUCGAACGCACAUUGCGCCAUCGGGUUCAUUCCCGUUGGCACGUCUGGCUGAGGGUUGAAUU